rnacentral:misc_RNA from 1 species
UGAAAUUUCACAAGUCAGACCUCUAUC